rnacentral:antisense_RNA from 1 species
UUUUAGUUAGAAAUUACAAGUUUAUUUUUAUAUUUUGAAAAAGGCGUAAUAGAAAACAAAAAUAAACAACCAGGCAUAUCAAUAUUUGUGACAUACACACAAAAAUGAAUAUAGGAAAUAACACGAAGAAAAAGCAUAGUAUGUUUUGAAACCAACGUGGGGUAUGAACAGAUUUUUGAUGAAAUACAACUAAAGGUUUUAAGUGUCUAUGUAAUGUUCGAGAUAUUACGAUCACUCUUAUCCUACUAGCAAAAAUUAGCAAACUAGGCUUUAAAACAUGAUUCCUGUUGUUUUAGCAGGAUUUAUUUUGGUAAUGAUCCUGCUUCCUUAUAAACAACUAGUUUACUUAUCAUUGUUGAAGGCUUCUUGUGUUAAGGAGUGCAAUGAGGCCAGGCACAGUGGCUAACACCUGUACUCCCAGCACUUUGGGAGGUGUGAGCCACCACACCAGACCAUAAACACACAUUUUUUAAAAAAGAGAAUUUCCCACCUGAGAAAUGGUUAAUUCACUUAUAUUAAUAAAUUGUCAUGGCCAUUUUUU